rnacentral:rRNA from 1 species
CAGCAGCCACGGGAAUACGGAGGGUGCAAGCGUUAUCCGGAUUUAUUGGGUUUAAAGGGUCCGUAGGCGGACUUAUAAGUCAGUGGUGAAAGCCUGUCGCUUAACGAUAGAACUGCCAUUGAUACUGUAAGUCUUGAGUAUAUUUGAGGUAGCUGGAAUAAGUAGUGUAGCGGUGAAAUGCAUAGAUAUUACUUAGAACACCAAUUGCGAAGGCAGGUUACCAAGAUAUAACUGACGCUGAGGGACGAAAGCGUGGGUAGCGAACAGGAUUAGAUACCCCCGUAGUCCCUGUCUCUUAUAC